AGCAAAAAGCGCUCAUAAUGUAACAGGGUGCUCAUUACUGCAUUUCCUAAGCUGUUGCCUGGUGCUGCUGUGUGCCAUUAGGUGUUUGCUAAAUCAUGUCUUAGGAGCUCCUGGGUCUUUGGGGUGUUUGCUUUGCAGAAGUGAGAGCAGCUGCCAAGCUCUCCUGGCUGUGGUUCUGUCCGUGCAGCUCCCGCGGAGCCAACACUGAUCCUGUUCCAGCCACACUGAUCCUGUUCCAGCCACACUGAUCGUGCUCCAGCCAGGCUGUUCUCCUUCCCCACGGCCCUGCUGAGAGCUGAGCACCUCGGGCAGGAGCUCAGGGGCUGACCUGCAGGAGGAGAGCUGUUCCUCACCAGCCGUGCCCACCACCUUCCUUCAAGCGUGCCAGGGCUGCAAACCCAACACAGUUCACCUCAUCUGACCUCAGGAUCUUCAGGGUAAUGGCAGAAGAUGAUGAUGAUAAUAUCCUGCUGUUCCACGGUGCCACUUUGAGACUCCACGAGCCCUUCAGCAACAUUCACUUUUCAAGGCCUGCAAGCCAUCUAAAGGCUUCAGUGAAAAACCAGCUUGUUUUAACAAGUGACAUGAGCCCUGGUGCUGCAAGCAUGACCUCAGGAGAGCAGCCUGUGAAGAGAGCUGUCACUGGGGACACUGCUGGGCACACAGACGGCAAGAACAGAAAGCCUAAACCCAUGUAAGGCCAUACCUCUGCUUGUCAGCCCCAUCCAGCCCACCACUAAGGUAGGAAACCAGCAGAGAAAAGUGUGCUAAAGAAACUGAGUCUCUUUUUUUUUCCUCCAAUUCCAGCUGUUAUUCUUUUAGUGAGUGAGAGGAAUUCAAGCUAUUUGUU
rnacentral:lncRNA from 1 species